ensembl:lncRNA
AUAGUAUUGUAUAGUACAGUAGUGUAUAGUAGAGUACAGUACAGUAGUGUAUAGUACAGUAGUGUAUAGUAGAGUAGUGUACAGUACAGUAGUGUAUAGUAGAGUAGUGUACAGUACAGUAGUGUAUAGUAGAGUAGUGUAUAGUAGAGUAGUGUAUAGUAUAGUACAGUAGUGUAUAGUAGAGUAGUGUAUAGUAUAGUAUAGUACAGUAGUGUAUAGUAUUGUAUAGUACAGUAGUGUAUAGUAUUGUAUAGUAGAGUAGUGUAUAGUAUUGUAUAGUAGAGUAUAGUUUAGUACAGUACAGUGGUGUAUAGUAUUGUAUAGUAGAGUAUAGUAGAGUACAGUAGAGUAGUGUAUAGUACAGUAGAGUAGUGUAUAGUAUUGUAUAGUAGAGUAGUGUAUAGUAGAGUAGUGUAUAGUAUUGUAUAGUAGAGUAGUGUAUAGUAUUGUAUAGUGGAGUAGUGUAUAGUAUUGUAUAGUAGAGUAGUGUAUAGUAGAGUACAGUAGUGUACAGUAGAGUAUAGUAGAGUACAGUAGAGUAUAGUAGAGUACAGUAGAGUUAAAUGUAGUACAGUAGAGUACAGUAGAGUAGAGAACAGGUCCACUGUAGUCAGGG